rnacentral:rRNA from 1 species
AGUGAACGCUGGCGGUAGGCCUAACACAUGCAAGUCGAACGGCAGCACAGGAGAGCUUGCUCUCUGGGUGGCGAGUGGCGGACGGGUGAGGAAUACAUCGGAAUCUACCUUUUCGUGGGGGAUAACGUAGGGAAACUUACGCUAAUACCGCAUACGACCUACGGGUGAAAGUGGGGGACCGCAAGGCCUCACGCGAUUAGAUGAGCCGAUGUCCGAUUAGCUAGUUGGCGGGGUAAUGGCCCACCAAGGCGACGAUCGGUAGCUGGUCUGAGAGGAUGAUCAGCCACACUGGAACUGAGACACGGUCCAGACUCCUACGGGAGGCAGCAGUGGGGAAUAUUGGACAAUGGGCGCAAGCCUGAUCCAGCCAUACCGCGUGGGUGAAGAAGGCCUUCGGGUUGUAAAGCCCUUUUGUUGGGAAAGAAAUCCUGUCGAUUAAUACUCGGUGGGGAUGACGGUACCCAAAGAAUAAGCACCGGCUAACUUCGUGCCAGCAGCCGCGGUAACAC